AAGCACAUUUAACAGUGUUAAUGUUUGGGGUCUGGAGCCUAGGCCUCAGGAGUCCUUUCAGCCUCUGUCUUCCCCCACUUGGAAUCCUGCCCUGAGACUUCCAUGAACAGAAGCUGGUUCAGCCUCCAUGAGGAUAAAAAGCCUUGUGGAGGGAAACCAAGGUGCCCCAGACAACGGCCAGCAACAACUGCCAGCACUGACUUAGAAGCUGCAUACGAACACGGCAAAUGACCAGAGAGCAGACACACCAGCUCUGGUGGGACAGCGUUCCUUGGGGAAAACACAGAGACAGGAACAGAUGCUGAAGAUGAACAGCAGGGAUCUCUUGGGAAAAAAUAUAUCUUCAAACAAGGGAGAUCCAGAAAAGCUUUUGUCUUCCAGGCUAGACUAUAGCCUUCUAUGGCCAAGAUGGAAACAGGCUGCAAUGUGGAUAUGAUGGCUGGAGCUGAAGCAGCCAUCCUGUGACCCUGAGAAUGGAAGCCAUUUAUUAAGGCUGAGGAGCUGACCUAAGAGCUCUGAAUGCCUACUUCUAGACUUUCUUUUAGAAAGAGAAACAAAUACUUAUGUAUUUAAGACAUCUUUUUCUUGGGGGUGAGGGAGUAACCUAAUCCUGAUAUGAUUGGUCUUUUUUUUUUUUUGGAAUGAUUGACUAUGGGAAUUUCUCCUUUCUUAAGGAGUAAUACCAACCCCCACCACUAGGGGGUGAUGUUGCUCUAUAUGCUGCAACGUGACAGUUACAUUAUUACAGAGGUCCAAACUCAGUAUAUUCUGUAUAAUUUAGUUUAAAUAACAGUGUGAGUGAGACAGCUAUGGCCCAGUAUGUUUGGGCUGAGCUUUGAUGAACUCCAUCAAAUUCCUCUAGCAUGAGAUCUGGAUUUCAAGUUUUUCUUGUUUUUUCAACUCUAGACCCUCAGCUUCUGCAAGCAAGCCCCCAAACCAAAGAAAGUAUACAUAGAGGAAGCUCAGAUUAAGGCAAAAAACAGUUUGUAUUUGUAUUUCCAAACGGAACAGUGAGCUUCCAGUUCAAAUGGCAUUGAAGUUAAUGGUAACUGCACUUUCUAAUAAGAAGCACUGGGUUGGAGUUUCCUUGUGGCUCAGCAGGUUAAGAACCUGGCAUAGUCUCCAUGAGGCUGCGGGUUCUAUCCCUGGCCUUGCUCAGUGGGUUAAGGAUCCAGCGAUGCUGUGAACUGUGGUGCAGGUUGCAGAUGUGCCUCGGAUCUGGUGUUGCUGUGGCUGUGGUGUAGGCCUGCAGCUGCAGCUCCGAUUCAACCCCUAGCCUGGGAACUUCCAUAUGCUGCAGGCACGGCCAUGAAAAGAAAAAAAGAGGAAGUAGCAGCAGCAGUGGGUCAACACUGGCUUUAUGUUUGUGUAAAUAAAGAUCCCUGUCUGGGAGGUCUAAUGAAGGUUCUGCUAUGAAAGGAUUUAUUGAAAUUUUCACUUCCUCAAGGUAGAAAAUCACUUGAAGUACUUAAGUGACUUUUUCCAGUUUAUACUCAUCAAAGUUUCAAAAAUCUCCAGGCUGGGAGUUUCAGUCAUUAAAAAUCUGAUGUGAUGGGAGCAAUUUAUCUAGCUCUCACUCUGGCUCAGGGCAGGUUGCUUUCUCAAAAUGAAAGUACAGUACCAGUGCUGUAAAAAAACAAAACAAAAAAAGCCCCACGCAAAACUAACCAACAAAGGAACCUGUGGUUGUAAAAAAUCUUCUUUUGACAGUUUCAGAUCACAUUGCCUUGGUAUCAUCUGUGCCCUCCUUGUCUACCUUUCGUUUAUACCCCAACACUGUGGAGUUAAGUAGAGUUUGGGGGGGGGGCUUCAUAGCAAACUAAUAAUCCUGGAUUUCUCUUCUCAGUUUCCUUACUAAAGUGGCAUGUUGGGUAUAACCAAAACUCCCUGUGGAAUGGAGAAAUAGUCACUUUUCUUUCUCCUCUUAAAGAUAACACUGGAAGUUUUCAUAUGUGAUAAAAUCGGUAGCCUCCAAGUAGGUGAAAGGCCCCUAAUUAACUGCCCACAGGCAGGGAAUUAGGUAUCCGCUUCCUCAGGGGGGGUCCCUUGAGGGUGGGGCUUCACGAACGCAAACACAAGAUGCCCAGUUAAACUGGAAGCAUUUUUGGUAAUUUUUGAGAUACUCUUAUACUAAAUAGUUACUCACUGUUUAUCUGCAACUCCAAGUUACUAGCGUGUCAUGGAUUUUAUCUGAUAACUCUGUGGGGGUGGGGUGGAGGGAAGGCAGAAAAAAAAAAAAAAAAAAAAAAAAAAGCAGAUUCUGGGAUCCCUCAAGGGGACUGCCCCGGGGAAAGUCACUGACGAAAAACAAAACAGCCACAAACCACUGUGGGCAGGUGUUCCAGGGUAAUUCAUGCCUUCUUCUUAUGUGUGUUGGCAGUAGCUCGGAUGUCUUCCCUCUCUGGGUGUAUUAAGAGCUCAGUUAGGGAUGCUGAUCACCUGGCUCAUCAAUGUCCACUGAGGAAUAGAUGGGAGGGACCUCCUCAAGCCCCAAGCUUUUGGGAUUGUGGGUUCUGUCCUUUCAGACAUAUAUCUGUGUGGGGCUGGGAUGCUGGGUGUCCUCUUCUUAGAGACACAGCAAUCCGUCAUUGCCUUGAGGUCCAGAGUCCCCAGUUGUCCUUUAGAAGGCAGCUUGUCCAAAUGGCAG
rnacentral:lncRNA from 1 species